GAUGAACGCUGGCGGCGUGCUUAACACAUGCAAGUCGAACGGAAAGGCUCCUGCUUGCAGGGGUACUCGAGUGGCGAACGGGUGAGUAACACGUGGGUGAUCUGCCCUGCACUUCGGGAUAAGCCUGGGAAACUGGGUCUAAUACCGGAUAGGACGAUGGUUUGGAUGCCAUUGUGGAAAGUUUUUUCGGUGUGGGGUGAGCUCGCGGCCUAUCAGCUUGUUGGUGGGGUAAUGGCCUACCAAGGCGUCGACGGGUAGCCGGCCUGAGAGGGUGUACGGCCACAUUGGGACUGAGAUACGGCCCAGACUCCUACGGGAGGCAGCAGUGGGGAAUAUUGCACAAUGGGCGCAAGCCUGAUGCAGCGACGCCGCGUGGGGGAUGACGGCCUUCGGGUUGUAAACUCCUUUCGCUAGGGACGAAGCGCAAGUGACGGUACCUGGAGAAGAAGCACCGGCUAACUACGUG
rnacentral:rRNA from 1 species